rnacentral:rRNA from 1 species
UGCAAGUCGAGCGGGGAAAGGUAGCUUGCUACCUGACCUAGCGGCGGACGGGUGAGUAAUGCUUAGGAAUCUGCCUAUUAGUGGGGGACAACAUUCCGAAAGGAAUGCUAAUACCGCAUACGCCCUACGGGGGAAAGCAGGGGAUCUUCGGACCUUGCGCUAAUAGAUGAGCCUAAGUCAGAUUAGCUAGUUGGUGGGGUAAAGGCCUACCAAGGCGACGAUCUGUAGCGGGUCUGAGAGGAUGAUCCGCCACACUGGGACUGAGACACGGCCCAGACUCCUACGGGAGGCAGCAGUGGGGAAUAUUGGACAAUGGGCGAAAGCCUGAUCCAGCCAUGCCGCGUGUGUGAAGAAGGCCUUUUGGUUGUAAAGCACUUUAAGCGAGGAGGAGGCUACUUAGAUUAAUACUCUAGGAUAGUGGACGUUACUCGCAGAAUAAGCACCGGCUAACUCUGUGCCAGCAGCCGCGGUAAUACAGAGGGUGCGAGCGUUAAUCGGAAUUACUGGGCGUAAAGCGUGCGCAGGCGGUUAUAUAAGACAGAUGCGAAAUCCCCGGGCUCAACCUGGGAACUGCAUUUGUGACUGUAUAGCUAGAGUACGGCAGAGGGGGAUGGAAUUCCGCGUGUAGCAGUGAAAUGCGUAGAUAUGCGGAGGAACACCGAUGGCGAAGGCAAUCCCCUGGGGCCUGUACUGACGCUCAUGCAC